rfam:Brassica oleracea var. oleracea cultivar TO1000 chromosome C2, whole genome shotgun sequence
UGAAUGAACAUCAUUGAGUGCAGCGUUGAUGUGAUUUACUUUUUUUAUUGUUGAAUGGAUUAAAGCAAUUUACAUCAAUGUUGGCUCAAUUAUGUUUUUC